GAAUGAAGACGGAGCCCAAAGAAGGGGUCGAGAUGAGAGAAGCCCACCCUCCCGGAUCUCAGCCAGAAGAAAGAGUUCCGAAUAUGCCGCCAUCCUAAAUCCAGUGCUCCUCACAGUUCGUUAAGGUUACUUUUCCAUAAAGGAGAGUGAGGAGUGCUGGACCAUUUUUAUUUGUUUUUAUGUUCAUUUUGUUCAGUUUGUGUUAAUGUUAUUAUUGUUAUUGUUAUUAUUAUUAUU